UACGGAGGGGGCGAGCGUUGUUCGGAAUUACUGGGCGUAAAGGGCGCGUAGGCGGCCUGUUAAGUCGGACGUGAAAUCCCUCGGCUCAACCGGGGAACUGCGUCCGAUACUGGCGGGCUUGAAUUCGGGAGAGGGAUGUGGAAUUCCAGGUGUAGCGGUGAAAGUGCGUAGAUAUCUGGAGGAACACCGGUGGCGAAGGCGGCUUCCUGGACCGACACUGACGCUGAGGCGCGAAAGCUAGGGGAGCAAACGGG
rnacentral:rRNA from 1 species